UACGUAGGGUGCGAGCGUUUGUCCGGAAUUAUUGGGCGUAAAGGGCUCGUAGGCGGUUUGUCGCGUCGGGAGUGAAAACCCAGGGCUUAACUCUGGGCUUGCUUUCGAUACGGGCAGACUAGAGGUAUGCAGGGGAGAACGGAAUUCCUGGUGUAGCGGUGAAAUGCGCAGAUAUCAGGAGGAACACCGGUGGCGAAGGCGGUUCUCUGGGCAUUACCUGACGCUGAGGAGCGAAAGUGUGGGGAGCGAACAGGA
rnacentral:rRNA from 1 species